GGGUGCGAUCAUACCAGCACUAAUGCACUGGAUCCCAUCAGAACUCCGCAGUUAAGCGUGCUUGGGCGAGAGUAGUACUAGGAUGGGUGGACCUCCUGGGAAGUCCUCGUGUUACACCCC
rnacentral:rRNA from 1 species